rnacentral:pre_miRNA from 1 species
UUUGACUCUUCGUCUUAUUUAAAAAAUUUUUUGCGAUUAAUAUUUUUAUUAUUACUAGAUGAUAAAAUAUGAAUAGUAUUUUAUGCGUAACUAAUUUUUAAAAGUUUUUUACAAAUUUUUCAAAUAAAAUGAAUGGUUGGACACGGAAA